GCGGAUAUGGCGUAAUCGGUAGCCGCAGGGGAUUUAAAAUCCCAAGUCUUCGGGCGUGUGGGUUCGAGUCCCACUAUCCGCACCA
rnacentral:tRNA from 1 species